rnacentral:rRNA from 1 species
CCUUAACACUGAGAGAUGAUGACGAGGCUCUACGGAGCUGAAGUAACCGAUACCACACUUCCAGGAAAAGCCACUAAGCUUCAGGUUUAUCUAAACCGUACUGAAAACCGACACAGGUGGUCAGGUAGAGAAUACUCAGGCGCUUGAGAGAACUCGGGUGAAGGAACUAGGCAAAAUAGCACCGUAACUUCGGGAGAAGGUGCGCCGGCGUAGAUUGUAAGGGUUUACCCCUGAAGGUUGAACCGGUCGAAGAUACCAGCUGGCUGCAACUGUUUAUUAAAAACACAGCACUCUGCAAACACGAAAGUGGACGUAUAGGGUGUGAUGCCUGCCCGGUGCUGGAAGGUUAAUUGAUGGUGUAAUCGCAAGAGAAGCUCCUGAUCGAAGCCCCAGUAAACGGCGGCCGUAACUAUAACGGUCCUAAGGUAGCGAAAUUCCUUGUCGGGUAAGUUCCGACCUGCACGAAUGGCAUAAUGAUGGCCAGGCUGUCUCCACCCGAGACUCAGUGAAAUUGAAAUCGCCGUGAAGAUGCGGUGUACCCGCGGCUAGACGGAAAGACCCCGUGAACCUUUACUAUAGCUUGACACUGAACAUUGAAUUUUGAUGUGUAGGAUAGGUGGGAGACUUUGAAGAUGAUACGCCAGUAUUGUUGGAGUCGUCCUUGAAAUACCACCCUUUAACGUUUGAUGUUCUAACGAAGAUUACGAAACGUGGUCUCGGACAGUGUCUGGUGGGUAGUUUGACUGGGGCGGUCUCCUCCCAAAGAGUAACGGAGGAGCACGAAGGUUUGCUAAUCACGGUCGGACAUCGUGAGGUUAGUGCAAUGGUAUAAGCAAGCUUAACUGCGAGACGGACAAGUCGAGCAGGUACGAAAGUAGGUCAUAGUGAUCCGGUGGUUCUGCAUGGAAGGGCCAUCGCUCAACGGAUAAAAGGUACUCCGGGGAUAACAGGCUGAUACCGCCCAAGAGUUCAUAUCGACGGCGGUGUUUGGCACCUCGAUGUCGGCUCAUCACAUCCUGGGGCUGAAGUAGGUCCCAAGGGUAUGGCUGUUCGCCAUUUAAAGUGGUACGCGAGCUGGGUUUAGAACGUCGUGAGACAGUUCGGUCCCUAUCUGCCGUGGGCGUUGGAGAAUUGGUUGGGGCUGCUCCUAGUACGAGAGGACCGGAGUGGACGCACCGCUGGUGUUCCGGUUGUGUCGCCAGACGCAUUGCCGGGUAGCUAAGUGCGGAAGAGAUAAGUGCUGAAAGCAUCUAAGCACGAAACUUGCCAAGAGAUGAGUUCUCCCAGAUUAUAAAUC